CUCAGGAGACACCGUCUUCCUCCCCCUGGAAGACAGAUCUUGUGAGCUGGCCUUCACCUCUUGUAGCUCUUGUACUUUUACGAAAGACUACAAACCAAUGUGAGAGGCUGCCUAGGCCUGGAAGGUAGCUCCACAGUGGCUAUAGAUCUUGAAUGGAAAGAUCCUCAGGAACUCACCAGGCUUGAUUCUGAGAUGGCAGCAGUUUAAGGCUCUCAAUUUGGAGGAAUGACCUGCCACCAGUUGCUUGGCCAAAGGCAUUGUAUGAGUACUCCUGCCUGAGAGACUGUUGGUAAGCACCUAGGGGCGCCAGACCCCACCCAUCAGCAUACGCUGAGGAGCACAGCCCAGGGAGCUGUACAGGAAGCAGUGGUAGUGUGACCUUCGCUCUUUCAUCGGCAGUGUUGUUCAACCUAGUCAGUCCCCUCACAGACGUGUAAGCCGCUCAGGGCUUCCACAGGGCCUCAGGACUGAGCUUCAACCCUUUCCUCUUCUUUCUUACAAAGAGAACAAAGCAAAGCUGAGGGUCGAGUUUGGUUCUCUGCAUCUUUCUGCUUCAGCUGAGCCUUGGCUUUGAUGGACUUCAGCUCUCCAGGGCAAUGGAAACAACAGAUUCAGAGAUUUGCUUUAGGAACUGGCUCACAUGACCAUGGAGGGACAGAAUGCCUGAGCCCUGCAGGUGUCUGGAGGCUGAAAGUUAC
rnacentral:lncRNA from 1 species